rnacentral:rRNA from 1 species
AACGAACGCUGGCGGCAUGCCUAACACAUGCAAGUCGAACGAAGGCUUCGGCCUUAGUGGCGCACGGGUGCGUAACGCGUGGGAACCUGCCCCUCGGUUCGGAAUAACAGUUAGAAAUGACUGCUAAUACCGGAUGAUGACUUCGGUCCAAAGAUUUAUCGCCGAGGGAUGGGCCCGCGUAGGAUUAGCUAGUUGGUGGGGUAAAGGCCUACCAAGGCGACGAUCCUUAGCUGGUCUGAGAGGAUGAUCAGCCACACUGGGACUGAGACACGGCCCAGACUCCUACGGGAGGCAGCAGUGGGGAAUAUUGGACAAUGGGCGAAAGCCUGAUCCAGCAAUGCCGCGUGAGUGAUGAAG